rnacentral:rRNA from 1 species
GUCCACGCCGUAAACGAUGAGUGCUAGGCGUUGGGGGUAUUGACCCCUCCAGUGCCGCAGCUAACGCGUUAAGCACUCCGCCUGGGGAGUACGGCCGCAAGGCUAAAACUCAAAGGAAUUGACGGGGGCCCGCACAAGCGGUGGAGCAUGUGGUUUAAUUCGACGCAACGCGAAGAACCUUACCUGGGUUAAAUCCACCGGGAUCCUUAGGAGACUAGGGAGUGCCCUUCGGGGAACCGGUGAGAAGGUGCUGCAUGGCUGUCGU